GGGGCAACGACCAAGCUGCAGCAUGACGUUCUUUGUCUGGAGAAAAACGUAAAACGAGAAACGUACAACUCGAUUUCUUCACAGUGGUGGUGAACUAGGGGGUUGCUUCAGGGGUGCUGGAAGAUUUCAACACAGAGAUCUUAACUUUUUGAAAAUUGAGCCGAAUCGCUUCCCUAGAGAACCUUGGCUACAUCACUAAAACACAGUUUCAUGAAGACCCUAUCCUGUUCCAGCAUGGCUGUGUCCCUGUGUACAAGGCGAGCUCCAUAAAGACAUUUGAUGAGUUUUGUGUGGAGGACCUCCAGUGGCCUGUACAGAGCCCUGACCUCAACUGAACACCUUUGGGAUGAAUUGGAACAUGGAUUUUGAGCCAGGCCUCAGUGUCUGUACUCUCAAAUGGGAUAUCCAACAAGCUCACAUAGGAAUAUGAUGCCCACUGUCUCUGUGCAUUAGAGUAGGCAGUAUGGGAGCCCAGUUGGCAAUGAAGGGAGUCACCCAAAGCCCCUCCAUUCUCCGUUAAACAUGCUGAGUAAGGGAUUUGUUUGGGAAAAUAAAUGUAUGUAAACUACAAAUUCUCUUAAAGGUUUGUACUUUUCAAACCGUACACUUUUCUUGUGAAGCCUAGGAAUCUGUUGGUGUACAUGAACAAUUUUAACAUCAUGAUGUGACUAAAUUUCUAACGAUGUGCUAACACUGACCAAUAGAGGAUGCACACUGACCCUAUGUAGUAGUGCUGUUCCUGUGGUAACUGAUCAGCCCCAUAAAGGGCUUAAUGACCAGUUCAUGAGUGGAAUCAGGAGCACUUCAACUCUGCAACACAGGGUAUUAAAAUUCUUGCACAUAAA